GACGAACGCUGGCGGCGUGCUUAACACAUGCAAGUCGAACGGUAAGGCCCUUCGGGGUACACGAGUGGCGAACGGGUGAGUAACACGUGGGUGAUCUGCCCUGCACUUCGGGAUAAGCCUGGGAAACUGGGUCUAAUACCGGAUAGGACCACUGCCUGCAUGGGUGGUGGUGGAAAGCUUUUGCGGUGUGGGAUGGGCCCGCGGCCUAUCAGCUUGUUGGUGGGGUGAUGGCCUACCAAGGGGACGACGGGUGGCCGGCCUGAGAGGGUGACCGGCCACACUGGGAAUGAGAUACGGCCCAGACUCCUACGGGAGGCAGCAGUGGGGAAUAUUGCACAAUGGGCGCAAGCCUGAUGCAGCGACGCCGCGUGAGGGAUGAUGGCCUUCGGGUUGUAAACCUCUUUCGGCACCGACGAAGCGCAAGUGACGGUAGGUGCAGAAGAAGGACCGGCCAACUACGUGCCAGCCGCCGCCGUAA
rnacentral:rRNA from 1 species